rnacentral:rRNA from 1 species
UACGGAGGGGGCUAGCGUUGUUCGGAAUUACUGGGCGUAAAGGGUGCGUAGGCGGUCCGCUAAGUUGGAUGUGAAAACUCUGGGCUUAACCCAGAGCCUGCAUUCAAAACUGACGGGCUAGAGUUCUGGAGGGGGUAGCGGAAUUCCUGGUGUAGCGGUGAAAUGCGUAGAUAUCAGGAGGAACACCGGUGGCGAAGGCGGCUACCUGGACAGAAACUGACGCUGAGGCACGAAAGCUAGGGGAGCAAACAGG